UAGGGAAUCUUCCACAAUGGGCGAAAGCCUGAUGGAGCAACGCCGCGUGUGUGAUGAAGGGUUUCGGCUCGUAAAACACUGUUGUAAGAGAAGAAUAACAUUGAGAGUAACUGUUCAAUGUGUGACGGUAUCUUACCAGAAAGGAACGGCUAAAUACGUGCCGAG
rnacentral:rRNA from 1 species